AUGCACAUUAUGAUGUAUACUAUUCUUAAAUAUUAUAUGUUGCUUAUAUUCAAGUUACCUGUUCCUGUUAAUAGUUGGUACAGCAGGGAAGUUGAUGAAACAGAUUUAGAAGAUCCAUUGAUGUUCUUCAAAAGAAACCCAAUAUUUGAUUCAAUAUCGUCCAAUAUGCUCCUUGGUAAAAAGGUUAAGGAGAACAGCUUCUGGAGAGAGAUUCUAAACAUGAACCCGUCAAUGCUUUCAAAAGUUGCGGGUACAGCAUUUAGAUCAUUAGGUUGCAUUGUUCUGGACAAUCAUGGUAGAGGCAUCCCUUUAGGUGCUGCAGCGUGCCUUGAGAAUCUGAGGAUUUCCAGGUCAUCUGGUAGAUGUGUUCUAUUGAAUAUCAAGCCGAGGGCCCCUGAAACAGAGCGCUUGACACUCCAGCAAAGAGCAAAUGAUUGGCUUGCUAUUCGGUAUCUCAUUAUAGUGUUGUGGAGUUGA
rnacentral:rRNA from 1 species